rnacentral:misc_RNA from 1 species
GAUGAAGAACGCAGCGAAAUGCGAUAAGUAAUGUGAAUUGCAGAAUUCAGUGAAUCAUCGAAUCUUUGAACGCACAUUGCGCCCAUUAGUAUUCUAGUGGGCAUGCCUGUUCGAGCGUCAUUUCACCACUCAAGCCUCGCUUGGUAUUGGGCAACGCGGUCCGCCGCGUGCCUCAAAUCGACCGGCUGGGUCUUCUGUCCCCUAAGCGUUGUGGAAACUUUCGCUAAAGGGUGUUCGGGAGGCUACGCCGUAAAACAACCCCAUUUCUAAGGUUGACCUCGGAUCAGGUAGGGAUACCCGCUGAACUUAAGCAUAUCAAUAAGCGGAGG